UUUUUUUUUUUUUUCCUUUGGCUGCACCUGUGGCAUAUGGAAGUUCCCAAGCCAGGGACUGAACUUGAGUCCCAGCUGCGGCCUAUGCCUUAGCUGUGGCAAUGGAACAUCCUUAACCCAUUGAGACAGGCCCGGGGCGAACCUGCACUGCCACUGAGACAAUGUCGCAUCUUAACCUGCUGUGCUGCAGCAGUAACUCCCAGACUUUCAGAGCCUUGAAUGCUGACUCAAGCAGCUAGUCUUUCCCCUAAGAGCAAUGGGAGCCUCAGAAAGAGCCUUAUUAAUAUUAUUAUUAUUAUUAUUAUUAUUAAUUGCUUUUUAGGGCUGUACCUGCAGCACGUAGAGAUUCCCAGGCUAGGGGUCGAAUCAGAGCUACAGCUGCCAGCCUACACCACAGCCACAGCAACGCCAGAUCCCAGCCAUAUCUGAGACCUACACCACAGCUUGGAUGCCAUGUUGCUGCCGCUGGGAACAUCCAUAGCUGUGGGUGCGGCCCUAAAAAGACCAAAAAAAAAAAAAAAAAGCUGAUUUUGAUUCAGCGGGUCUGGUUUGGGGGGGGAGGCCCCAACUGCUGGUCCUCGGUCCACACUUUGGGGGGCUUAGAGUGGACCUGCCCUGUGGAGGCGGGAGCUGGGGAUGGUGUGGCCCAGGGGCAUCACUAGGGUCAGCCUGUGCUCAUCCCCUAGUGGUGGGCUGAGCAGUGGGCGUGGCCUUGGAUCCGAGGCAGUAGAUGCUGUCACACUCUUCACCUUCCCUGGGGACACUUCAGGCUAUCAUUGUUCCCAAGGUGCCAGAACAUUCUAACCAGAGGACUGGUCCAGCACUUCUGUUACCUCGGGGUCUCAGAGAGGGAAUUCUUCCAGGUAGGGCCUCUGGGGUGGUGUCCUCAGAUGCCCCCCCCAUGGAAUGCGCCCCUAAGUCUUGGCCUCGGGGCCCUGGGGGCCUGGCCGGAGGUGCUGAAGUGGGAGAGGAAGGAAGCGGGGAGCAGAGGAGGCCAAGGCUGUCGCCUCCCAGCCGCGAGAGGGGCCUCAAGUAAACAGGAAAGCCUGGCGGCUCCACGGUUGGGGGGGCUUUUGGGGCGGGUGUAAAGCCCUACUGGACAUGCGCAGCCUGCAAGCACGGGGCUUCUUCUCUGGCAAGCAGACUCAGAGAGGUUGCGUGGCUUGCCCCAGGUCACACAGCGAGGCAGGAUCACAGGGCUAGACCCUAGCCUGUCUCUCCUGCUUCUGCCAAUUUCCUGGGAUUCCGGUGCAGGGUCUCCUGCCUCUGCUGCCCACCGUGGUUCAUGGGGUGCCUCAGUUACCCUUUCUAUGAUCUCGGGAUGCCGACAACUCAGAGGAUCUAGAAUCCUGGCCUGUGGAAUCCUCCUGCCUUCUAGGUGGUUUUCCCGGGCUCUCUAGACCUCGGGGAACACCGGGUACUGGGACCAUUCCC
rnacentral:lncRNA from 1 species